GGUGGCUCAGAGGUAGAGUGCUUGCCUUGCAUGCAAAAGGCCCUGGGUUCAAUUCCUCAGCACCG
rnacentral:tRNA from 1 species